UACAGAGGUCUCAAGCGUUGUUCGGAUUCAUUGGGCGUAAAGGGUGCGUAGGCGGCGCGGUAAGUCGGGUGUGAAAUCUCGGAGCUUAACUCCGAAACUGCAUUCGAUACUGCCGUGCUUUGAGGACUGGAGAGGAGACUUGGAAUUUACGGUGUAGCGGUGAAAUGCGUAGAUAUCGUAAAGGAAGACCAGUGGCGAAGGCGGGUCGCUGGG
rnacentral:rRNA from 1 species